rnacentral:rRNA from 1 species
UACGGAGGGGGGCUAGCGUUGUUCGGAAUUACUGGGCGUAAAGCGCGCGUAGGCGGAUCUGCAAGUCGGGGGUGAAAUCCCGAGGCUCAACCUCGGAACUGCCUUCGAUACUGCGGGUCUCGAGUCCGGGAGAGGUGAGUGGAAUUCCUAGUGUAGAGGUGAAAUUCGUAGAUAUUAGGAAGAACACCAGUGGCGAAGGCGGCUCACUGGCCCGGUACUG